GCCCGGGUGGUGAAAUUGGUAUACACGCUUGCCUUAGGAGCAAGUGCCGCAAGGCAUGAGAGUUCGAGUCUCUCCUCGGGCACCA
rnacentral:tRNA from 1 species